AAAGACAAUAUAUCAGGUGCACCUAGCAACACGCUGCAGUGAGUGAGUGGAACGCAAUGGUUGGUGGUGGCGUCUCUCGCAUUUCCCACCAUUUGGGGAGGAGGCAUCGCCAUUUCUCAAACCAUAGUGCCCUCAAAUUACCGCUGUUUUGUCACCCCACCUAAGUUCCCCGGCGAAAUUCCUCUCCUUUUCGAUUGUUUCAGCCAACAAGAAGAUGAACGUGAAAUUCUCUCCGACGGAACAUCUGCUGUGGCAGGAUUUUAGCCUCGUUCACCUUAUGCCUCUUUUACCAUUUUUCAUAUGCAUGUCCAACUGUGUAAUAUGCAAUUUGUGUUCUUAGAAUAUCCAUAUUGUUUGGAGGAAAAUAACAUACUUUUUUCCCAAAAUAAAAAAGAAAAGGAUGAUUGAUGAUAUUGUGGAACUGGUUCUGUGAUUCACCAUGUCAUGAUAGUUUCUUAUAGGAGAGGAGUGCGCUUGUACUUCUUAAUUCCCAUAGCUUAGAAUCGCGUUUCUUCAUUAACUUUGUACAUCUUUUUAUUCUUUAGGCUAUUUAUGGCCAAUUACUAAUUCUUCUUUUAGUCUUCGUGUAUGUAGAUUUAUUGCUUAUUGGCUAAUGCAUAGUUUGGUAGAGUGGAAUGGAACAGAAUGGAGAACAAAUAUUUGAAUUGAAUUGAAAUAGUGUGGUUGAGAUGUGGGACCCACACUAAUUUUGGAAAAUUUCCCUUCAAAUCCCCGCUAGUAAUUCCACCAAACAGGGGGUAAAUUAGUACUGCUUUCUUGAGUGUAUAUAGGGAUCUAGUGAAGAAAGACAUGCAGCAAUUGUAGUUUUCACUUCGGAAGUUGGCAUAUAUUUUAUGUACUAUUAUUGAUUCUAUCUUAAUCAUUACCGGGUGGAAUUGUAGCAUUGGGAAAGAUUGAUGCUCUGCACAUAGGUCAUCGAGAACUUGCAAUUCAAGCGUCCAGGCCCGGACCUCCAUUUCUUUUGUCAUUUGUUGGCAUGGCAAAAUUACUUUGUUGGGAACUUAGGCCUCCUAUAGUUGCUAAAUGUGACCAAAAGCGAGUUCUUUCUUCUUGGGUUUCUUAUUGCUGUAACAUGGUCCCAGAAGAGUUUCAGGUUGAGUUUUCAAGUGUGCGGCAUCUCAAUCCACAGGUGAGAACUACCAAUUUGGGUAUAAAGCAGCUGGUGAUGCCUUGGAGUUAGUUAAGCUUUGUGAAGAGUACGGAAUGGAAGCUUACAUAAUAAAGUCUGUUAUGGAGUAAAUAUUGGUAACAUAUGAUUUCUGUUACCAACUCCAUAGAGAGGGGACAGGUCUCAUCUACACGUGUUUGUAAAUAUUAAUGGCCACUGGCCAAGAACGAUUCAGUACUGCGCAGUAUAAGGUGUCUGCUCCUUGGUCUUGCUUAUUGAAUCUAGCACCAAAGGAAGGAUUAUAUGAGAAGUAUUCACUUUUCCUUGAUCAGAAAAAUGUGUUGCAGUGUAGAAUAGUUAUUGACAGCAAGUUUGUCCAUAUAGAAACAUAUUAUGGAGGUCUGAGUGACAUUUUUGGUUCUCUUGCAGUUCUUGCAUAUUGAGUUUGGUGAUUCUUGCACUUGAUUCAGUUUAGAUAAUUAUUUCUAUUUAAAAUUUAUAGUCUA